UCUCCUCUCUUCCAUAGAUCUUCAAAGCUUUCCUUUGUACGGUGCGGCUUUGCUGAGGACACCGAGACUGGUGGGAAGGCCUCCUGGCUGUCCAACCCAGGCAGCAAAAUCCAACAACUGGAGUUUCAUGUCUGUGUGGUCGCCCCGUCCUUCUUCGAGGAUCUCCGUUCUCUGAUUUCUUCCAGCCAAUCCCUCACCAAACUUG